rnacentral:rRNA from 1 species
GACAGAGGAUGCAAGCGUUAUCCGGAAUGAUUGGGCGUAAAGCGUCUGUAGGUGGCUUUUUAAGUCUGCCGUCAAAUCCCAGGGCUUAACCCUGGACAGGCGGUGGAAACUACCAAGCUGGAGUACGGUAGGGGCAGAGGGAAUUUCCGGUGGAGCGGUGAAAUGCGUAGAGAUGUGGAGGAACACCGAUGGCGAAGGCAGCCCCCUGGGCUAACACUGACGCUCAUGCACGAAAGCGUGGGGAGCAAACAGG